UUUGUCUGGGGAUCUGCUAUCUUCCAGAUAAUCCAGAGUAUUCGAAUGGGCAUGUGAAGUGGCAAUUGUGUAAAGAAAUCCUUUUUCUCCUGUGAAUUUGAACUUGAAUCUUUUCAUUCCCAGUGCUUGGAUUUCCAGUGUAGAAGCUGCUUCCUCCAGCUUUUUGACAUCAGAGACUCUUCCACUUUCGCUCUUAGCAGAUGUCCUCUGCAGCUUGUGCAGAAGUGCCUUGAAAGUACAUUAUGCAGAUAACCAUUUGUAAUUUCUUUGUGAUUGGGGACCUAAAUUUUGAUUAAAAAAAGUUCAUAUUUAAAGUGUGGAUAUUUUUAAAUUAUAUGCAAUGUAGAUAUUUGUUUAGCUAAGUAUCUUGCCUGUUUAGAAGAAUUGUAUAUUCACUUCCCCUCCUCCACCUACACACUUUGCAUUUGGGAGCAUAGUUUCUUACUUAUAGUUUCCUUUAAAAGCAUAGGAUUUUUAACAGUCAGGCUUAUUCUGAUGACAUCCUAAACAUUCCUCCGUUAUAAGGUAGGCAGCUAAAUUGGUUACAUCUCUCUUAACUGUGUUACUCUUUGUGAACUUUACCAUUGUAGUUGCUUUGUACUGUACAAAGAUGUUCCAUGUUUGGGGAUGAACUGCAGUGACGGCUUAACCAAUGGUAAGUGUAGAAAUUAAGGUGCAGGAUUCUAAAAAGCCAUUAUAAUAGUGUAACAUUUUGUCAUACUGUAGCUGCUAGACUUGCAUUUUUUUUUCUGUAUUAAGUCUUUAAUUUUUUCUUCACAGUGCAAGUUAACCAUAAAUGGGUGGCUGCUCUGGUGGUGUCUCAGGAUUCUUGAAAUACAUGUGUAUGAUCUUUAGUGUCUGUAUGUACAAUUCCUGUAAAUGACUUUAUAGUUAAGCUUACAGAUCUGAUUGUGAGUAUGCAUGUAUAUGUACAUACAACAGUGUACAUUUUUAGUUACUUCAUAACCAGUAAAACAAGGAUAGCUCAUUUUGCUCUGUAUUUGGCCACACCAAAAUUUGAGGGAGGGUAUUUAGAUACCACUUGCAUCAGAAUACUUCUGUUGCAUGAUUUGCCAAAAUCAACUUUGAACAAUAGUUCUGUUGUUUACAAGACUAAUUUGACCAAAUGGAACAUUGAAAAUGUGUCUUAAGACAGUUUAUUGUUUUUGGCAUUUGAGAGCAAAUGUGAUGUUCAUGCAAUAAAACAUGAAAGUAUUAUUAA